GACGAACGCUGGCGGCGUGCUUAACACAUGCCAGUCGAACGGAAAGGCCCUGCUUUUGUGGGUUGCUCGAGUGGCGAACGGGUGAGUAACACGUGAGUAACCUGCCCUUGACUUUGGGAUAACUUCAGGAAACUGGGGCUAAUACCGGAUAGGAGCUCCUGCUGCAUGGUGGGGGUUGGAAAGUUUCGGCGGUUGGGGAUGGACUCGCGGCUUAUCAGCUUGUUGGUGGGGUAGUGGCUUACCAAGGCUUUGACGGGUAGCCGGCCUGAGAGGGUGACCGGCCACAUUGGGACUGAGAGACGGCCCAGACUCCUACGGGAGGCAGCAGUGGGGAAUAUUGCACAAUGGGCGGAAGCCUGAUGCAGCAACGCCGCGUGCGGGAUGACGGCCUUCGGGUUGUAAACCGCUUUCGCCUGUGACGAAGCGUGAGUGACGGUAAUGGGUAAAGAAGCACCGGCUAACUACGUG
rnacentral:rRNA from 1 species